GCCACAGCCAUAUCACCCUGCAGGCUAAGGCUGGUUACUCCCUGAAGCGAAGCAGGGCUGAGCCUGGUCACUACCUAGAUAGGAGACCACAUGAGAAACUAGGUUGCUGAUGGAA
rnacentral:rRNA from 1 species